rnacentral:misc_RNA from 1 species
GAAAUGCGAUACGUAGUGUGAAUUGCAGAAUUCAGUGAAUCAUCGAAUCUUUGAACGCACAUUGCGCCCUUUGGUAUUCCAAAGGGCAUGCCUGUUCGAGCGUCAUUUGUACCCUCAAGCUUUGCUUGGUGUUGGGCGUCUUUUGUCUUUGGCCUCGCCCAAAGACUCGCCUUAAAACGAUUGGCAGCCGGCCUACUGGUUUCGCAGCGCAGCACAUUUUUGCGCUUGCAAUCAGCACAAGGACGGCAAUCCAUCAAGACUUCAUUUUUACGUUUGACUUCGGAUCAGGUAGGGAUACCCGCUGAACUUAAGC